rnacentral:rRNA from 1 species
AAUGAACGCUGGCGGCAUGCCUAACACAUGCAAGUCGAACGAUAACAUCGGGCCUAUUGGCGCAUGGCUGCGUAACGGGUGGGAAGCGGCCCAUGUGUUCGAAAUAACUUAGAGAAAUGGGAGAUAAAAUGGGAUCGGGUCUUAGGACCGAAGAUUUAUCGAGUUUGAAUGGGCCCGAGUAGGAUUCGCUUGUUGGUGGGGUAAUGGCCUACCAAGGCGACGAUUCUUAGGUGGUCUGAGAGAAUGAUCAGCCACACUUGGACUGAGACGCGGCCCAGACUCCUACGGGAGGCAGCAGUGGGGAAUAUUGGACAGUGGGCGGAAUGCUGAUGGAGCUAGGCCGCGUGAGUGAUGAAGGCCUUAAGGAUGUAAAGCUCUUUUACCAGGGAUGAUAAUGACAGUACCUGGAGAAUAAGCUCCGGCUAACUCCGUG